AGUGAACGCUGGCGGCAGGCCUAACACAUGCAAGUCGAGCGGCAGCGGGUUCCCGCGAGGGGAUGCCGGCGAGCGGCGGACGGGUGAGGAACACAUCGGAAUCUGCCUGGUUGUGGGGGAUAACGUAGGGAACUUACGCUAAUACCGCAUGCGACCCUGAGUCGACGGACUGGGGGUGAAAGUGAGGGACCUUCGGCCGUCACGCGACCAGAUGAGCCGAUGUCGG
rnacentral:rRNA from 1 species